AUUGAACGCUGGCGGCAUGCUUUACACAUGCAAGUCGAACGGUAACAGGGAGCUUGCUCCGCUGACGAGUGGCGAACGGGUGAGUAAUAUAUCGGAACGUACCCAGAAGUGGGGGAUAACGUAGCGAAAGUUACGCUAAUACCGCAUACGAUCCACGGAUGAAAGUAGGGGACCUUCGGGCCUUAUGCUUUUGGAGCGGCCGAUAUCUGAUUAGCUAGUUGGUGAGGUAAAGGCUCACCAAGGCGACGAUCAGUAGCUGGUCUGAGAGGACGACCAGCCACACUGGAACUGAGACACGGUCCAGACUCCUACGGGAGGCAGCAGUGGGGAAUUUUGGACAAUGGGCGCAAGCCUGAUCCAGCAAUGCCGCGUGAGUGAAGAAGGCCUUCGGGUUGUAAAGCUCUUUUGUCAGGGAAGAAACGAGUUUCUCUGAUACAGAGACUUAAUGACGGUACCUGAAGAAUAAGCACCGGCUAACUACGUGCCAGCAGCCGCGGUAAGAC
rnacentral:rRNA from 1 species